GUCUUAGUAGCUUAACCUUAAAGCACUGGUCUUGUAAAUCAGAGAUGGAGAUCACCAUUCCCCCUAAGACA
rnacentral:tRNA from 1 species